GCCAUGGCUGAGUGGAAGAGUUUCUGCUUUGCAUGCAGAAGAUUCCAGGUUCAAUCCUCGGCAUCUCCA
rnacentral:tRNA from 1 species